AGCGAACGCUGGCGGUAUGCUUAACACAUGCAAGUCGAGCGCGAAAGUGACUUCGGUCAUGAGUAGAGUGGCGGACGGGUGAGUAACACGUGGAUAAUCUGCCUUUAGGACUGGGAUAACCCUGGGAAACUAGGGCUAAUACCGGAUAAGACCACAGGUUCCAUGGAACCAGGGGGUAAAAGGCGGCCUUCGGGCUGUCGCCGAAAGAUGAGUCCGCGUCCCAUCAGGUAGUUGGUGAGGAACGGCUCACCAAGCCGAAGACGGGUAGCCGACCUUAGCGGGUGAUCGGCCAC
rnacentral:rRNA from 1 species